GGGGGCUGAGGAGCGGGCGGCGCUGUGCUGCGGGCGCUGGGGAGCGUGAGGGAUUGUCGCGGCUGUGACACCCGCGGUCAAAAUGAAGAUGUUAAAGCAGAAUUAUUAUCCAAAAGCUGAAGGCCGAUGAAACAAACCUUCAUCUAAGGAGUUCACAGAACCAUUUUCUCUCCAAGUUGCUGGUUAUGAAGGUGGAGAUCAGCCAGUUGUGUUCCAAGCUUUGAUGAAUGCCUAGAAACAA